rnacentral:lncRNA from 1 species
UUCUUUUGCUUUGCUUGUUUGUUAUUGCUCAUUGCCUAUUCCAAAGGACACACUUGAAUCAUCUUCUAUAUGAUCUCAAGAGGUGAACCUUCUAGGAAGUUUUACACUCCAUCUUCAUCCAUUCACCCAUUUAGUCCUAAACCUUUUCACACAUUGCUUUCAAAAAUUGAGAUAAAUAUUGUACAAACAUCUUCAUGCUUUCAAAUUAGAAACCUGGACCCUAAGUCCUUGACUUU